AUUGAACGCUGGCGGCAUGCCUUACACAUGCAAGUCGAACGGCAGCACGGGAGCAAUCCUGGUGGCGAGUGGCGAACGGGUGAGUAAUAUAUCGGAACGUGCCCGGUCGUGGGGAUAACGUAGCGAAAGCUACGCUAAUACCGCAUACGAUCUACGGAUGAAAGCGGGGGAUCGCAAGACCUCGCGCGAUUGGAGCGGCCGAUAUCAGAUUAGGUAGUUGGUGAGGUAAAGGCUCACCAAGCCGACGAUCUGUAGCUGGUCUGAGAGGACGACCAGCCACACUGGGACUGAGACACGGCCCAGACUCCUACGGGAGGCAGCAGUGGGGAAUAUUGGACAAUGGGCGAAAGACCUGAUCCAGCAAUGCCGCGUGAGUGAUGAAGGCCUUAGGUUGUAAAG
rnacentral:rRNA from 1 species